UUUUUGGAGAGUUUGAUCCUGGCUCAGGACGAACGCUGGCGGCGUGCCUAAUACAUGCAAGUCGAGCGGACC
rnacentral:rRNA from 1 species